UGAGGAAUUUUGCGCAAUGGGGGCAACCCUGACGCAGCAACGCCGCGUGGGUGACGAAGGCCUUCGGGUCGUAAAGCCCUGUCGGGUGGGAAGAAGACCCUGAGGGGGGAAUACCCUCUUUUGGGGUGUGACGGUACCACCAGAGGAAGCACCGGCUAACUCCGUGCCAGCAGCCGCGGUAAUACGGAGGGUGCGAGCGUUAUUCGGAAUUACUGGGCGUAAAGCGCGUGCAGGCGGGGGGACAAGUCUGAUGUGAAAGCCCGGGGCUCAACCCCGGGAAGUGCAUUGGAAACGGUCCUUCUUGAGUGUUGGAGAGGAAGGGGGAAUUCCCGGUGUAGAGGUGAAAUUCGUAGAGAUCGGGAGGAAUACCAGUGGCGAAGGCGCCCUUCUGGACGACAAC
rnacentral:rRNA from 1 species